AAGUCGUAACAAGGUUUCCGUAGGUGAACCUGCGGAAGGAUCAUUACAGUCGGGGGCUCGACGCUCCGCCCGUGGCUCCGGCCGCCGGUGGAGUGCGCCUGCCUGAAAACUCUUGUCUACCCUCUCCUAGUUGCUUUGGCGGGUCGUCUCCGGACCGUCGGGGGACUCGCUCCCCCGGUGCGUGCCCGUCAAAGGCCACCUCUAAACCGUAUCAACGUGCUCUGUCUAAGCUAAAAGAAAAUAAUAACAAAACUUUCAACAACGGAUCUCUUGGUUCUGGCAUCGAUGAAGAACGCAGCGAAAUGCGAUAAGUAAUGCGAAUUGCAGAAUUCCGUGAGUCAUCGAAUCUUUGAACGCACAUUGCGCCCUCUGGUAUUCCGGAGGGCAUGCCUGUCCGAGCGUCAUUUAUCCAGUUCAAGCCCGGCUUGAUGGUGGGUCUCACCGCCCCGGCGGUCGUCCCGAAAGACAAUGACGGGCCCCGCACGCCGUGGAUGCAGCGAGCUCUUUAGCACGCGUCCCGGCGCUACGCGGCGCGUCUUCAACCCCAUCUCAGGUUGACCUCGGAUCAGACAGGGUUACCCGCUGAACUUAAGCAUAUCAAUAAGCGGAGGAAAAGAAACCAACAGGGAUUGCCUCAGUAACGGCGAGUGAAGCGGCAACAGCUCAAAUUUGAAAUCUGGUCCCCCCGCGGGGCCCGAGUUGUAAUUUGUAGAGGAUGCUUCGGGCAAGACUGCGGCCUAAUUCGCUUGGAACAGCGGGUCACAGAGGGUGAGAGUCCCGUCCGGGGCCGUGAGUCGCGUCCGUGUGAAGCUCCUUCGACGAGUCGAGUUGUUUGGGAAUGCAGCUCUAAAUGGGUGGUAAAUUUCAUCUAAAGCUAAAUAUUGGCCAGAGACCGAUAGCGCACAAGUAGAGUGAUCGAAAGAUGAAAAGCACUUUGAAAAGAGAGUUAAACAGUAUGUGAAAUUGUUGAAAGGGAAGCGCUGGCAAUCAGACCUGUGUGCCCGGUUCCCCCGGUCUUCGACCGGGUCAUUUCCGCGGCUCCAGGCCAGCAUCGGUUCAGGCGGCUGGUGAAAGACCCCGGGAACGUAUCUACCUUCGGGUCGACUUAUAGCCCGGGGUGUAAUGCAGCCCGCCCGGACCGAGGUACGCGCUCCGGCUCGGAUGCUGGCGUAAUGGUUGUCAGCGGCC
rnacentral:rRNA from 1 species